CCGGCAGCGCCCGGGCCUGCGGGGGCUGGGUCCGCUCGCACGGCCCCGGCGGUGCCGAGGGGAACGGGCAGCCGCCCCUCGCCAGCCGCCCCUCGCCAGCCGCAGCGCUCCGCGGGUGGAGAGAACGAGGGGCAGUGUAAUUUAAGGGAAAGAUGCUGCUGUGUCAGGAAUUAAGGGGAAAACAUGAAUAAGGAAACAAGCUUGCAGUGAAAAGCACGAUGUUACUACAGCAAUACUCUGCUUCGAAACACUGCUUUCAGCUUUAGUUGCUUCGUCUCUCAGUGGGUAUGGACACUUCGAAGAAAAGCUUCCACACCAGUGUUACCUGGGGUUUGAGUUUGGAAUCACAUAUUCACCUACUUAUGGACAUUUCCUGUUGCUUUUGGAAAGUGAUUUGAUUUUGUUUGAUUAAAUGAAGCAGAGAAAGCUCUGGGGAAAAUGUUGAGACCCUGCUAAUCAUAGGCACAGUAUGUAAUGGAGGAUGCUUUGGAUAUUCACUAACAGAAGAUCAAAGUAUGUGCCAUUUGCAUUUCCUGUUGAUGUAUGUAAAAAUGAGCUACAAGGGAUGUCACUUCUAACACACACUUUUUGAGGAUCUGAACUCAGUAUUGUAUCUGAUGUUUGAGAGACUGGGAAUUAAACCGAAACAAGCACAGUGUGAUUUUGAAACGGCAUGCUUUCCUCCUAGCCUGGUAUCCAAAUUUUCCCCACCUUCCUGACUCUGUGUCUCCCUCCCAUGUCCUGGGACUGAGCCGGAAAGCACGUGGGCCCAGCAGGAUGGGUGGCACAGGCAUCGGGGCUGCUGGUGACGUGGGAAGGAGGCACUCAUUUCUGUGCUCAUUUUCUCCCUAUGACUGCAUGAGGCGUGAUGAGAUUGAAGGGGAAGCAGCCCAACCCUGGCCUCACAUUCCUGAGGAGUGUCUUCUUUCCAAGGCAUGAGCUGUCCCUAAGUGGUGGGUAAUUUACCUUAUGGACAAAUUUCAUUCUCUGCUUCUCCGCCUCUAACUUUAGACAGGAAGAGCAAUCCUGUCAGUGUUUGGUACUGAUGACAAAGCACCUGGCAGAGAUUCCCAGGCAGAAGCUGUUACUGAUGUAUUCCACCAGCCGUAAGAACUCCUGUUAUUAUUGUCAUCAUCUCUGUUUGCUAAUUUAAUUAAAAUAUCUGCUUCAGAACCUGAAAUGAGAUUAGGUUCCUAUUACACCAAAUGUUGUACAAAAUUAUGAUGAAUGUUCGUUUCCAGCUUGAACAAGCUUAUAGGCUGUUAUAUUGCAGAAUGGCCUGUAAAACCUAUUCGUUUAAAAACAUAUAUUGAUUUAUUAGGCUGGUACUUGCUCUCAGCCAGCAAUAGGUAAUGUGAUAGCAUACAUUUUCAAUAAACAGAGAAAAAUUCU